UGGGGAAUUUUGCACAAUGGGGGAAACCCUGAUGCAGCGACGCCGCGUGAUUUAGAAGGCCUUCGGGUUGUAAAAAUCUUUUCUAUGGGAAGAAAAUGACAGUACCAUAGGAAUAAGGACCGGCUAAUUACGUGCCAGCAGCCGCGGUAAUACGUAAGGUCCGAGCGUUGUCCGGAAUCAUUGGGCGUAAAGGGUACGUAGGCGGGUAAGCAAGUUAGAAGUGAAAUCCUAUAGCUCAACUAUAGUAAGCUUUUAAAACUGCUCAUCUUGAGGUAUGGAAGGGAAAGUGGAAUUCCUAGUGUAGCGGUGAAAUGCGCAGAUAUUAGGAGGAAUACUGGUGGCGAAGGCGACUUUCUGGCCAUAACCUGACGCUGAGGUACGAAAGCGUGGGUAGCAAACAGG
rnacentral:rRNA from 1 species